ensembl:processed_transcript Ptprv protein tyrosine phosphatase, receptor type, V
UGUGAGCACUACUGGCCAGUCAACUCCACGCCUGUCACCCACGGUCACAUCACCACCCACCUCCUGGCAGAGGAAUCUGAGGAUGAGUGGACCAGGAGGGAAUUCCAGCUGCAGCACGGUGCAGAGCAAAAACAGAGGCACGUGAAGCAGCUGCAGUUCACGACCUGGCCAGACCACAGUGUCCCCGAGGCUCCCAGCUCUCUGCUUGCUUUUGUGGAACUGGUGCAGGAGGAGGUGAAGGCAACUCAGGGCAAGGGGCCCAUCCUGGUGCAUUGCAGUGCGGGUGUGGGC